rnacentral:rRNA from 1 species
UCUGUAGGUGGUCAAAUAAGUCAACUGUUAAAUCUUGAGGCUCAACCUCAAAAUCGCAGUCGAAACUAUUAGACUGGAGUAUAGUAGGGGUAAAGGGAAUUUCCAGUGGAGCGGUGAAAUGCGUAGAGAUUGGAAAGAACACCGAUGGCGAAGGCACUUUACUGGGCUAUUACUAACACUGAGAGACGAAAGCUAGGGUAGCAAAUG